rnacentral:rRNA from 1 species
UGAUCCUGCCAGUCGUGAUACGCUUGUCUUAAAGAUUAAGCCAUGCAUGUGCAAGUACAGUCUACAAAUGUAGAGAAACCGCAAACGGCUCAUUAAAUUGGUCAUAAUAUGAUUGCUGAGACGACACUUUUGUGCAUAUGGAUAACUGUGGUAAUUCUAGAGCUAAUACAUGAUACCGAGUUCGCUCUCAUUGCGCUAGUGAUGAAGCGAACGCUCUAAUUGCCUCAAAUGCAUGGUCGUUGUGUUUACUUGUGUAAAUGAACGACUUAAACAAUUGGUGAAUCUCAAUUAUGUGUGCUGUGAAUCGUAUGAUUUUUAUAAUCGACGAUGCUGCAUGUAAAUGUCUACCCUAUCAGCUCUGGACGGUUUGGUAGUGGCGAACCGUGGCGAUAACGGGUAACGGGGAAUUUGGGUUCGAUUCCGGAGAGGGAGCCUGAGAAAUAGCUACCACAUCUAAGGGUGGCAGCAGGCGCGUAACUUACCCACUCUCAGCUUUGGGAGGUAGUGACAAAAUGUACCUUACGAAGGCGGCUUGAGCUGUUUUCAAGACGGAAUGAGUGCAGUGUGAAAACCUGUGCGACUAACUACUGGAGGGCAAGCCUGGUGCCAGCAGCUGCGGUAAUUCCAGCUCCAGUAGCGUAUACUAAAGUUGUUGUGGUUAAAAAGCUUGUAGUUGGAUAUGAGUAUGCGUCGUAUAUUUGUUCUGAUACACGAAUAUUUUGUAUGUCGAACAUUAGUGCGUACGUGUACGUUUUGCCAGAUGUUAAACGUUGACGAAAUGUUUUAUUUACGUUUUGUUGACGACUGGCAGAGUUACUUUGAANAAAAUAGAGUGCUCAAAGCAGGCCGUAAUGGCUUGUGUAUAACGAUUCAUAGAAUUGGAGAAAACGUUCCUGACUCGAUAAUUUGUGCGUUUGGCGAGUGAAAGGAAAAUGGUUAAUAGGGACAGACGGGGGCAUUUGUAUUGUGACGCGAGGGGUAAAAUCCAGUGACCGUUGCAAGACAAACAACUGCGAAAGCAUUUGCCAAGAAUGUUUUCAUUAGUCAAGAACGAAAGUUAGAGGUUCGAAGGCGAUUAGAUACCGCCCUAGUUCUAACCGUAAACGAUGUCGACCAGUAAUUAGCACAACUUGAUAUUGAAUGGGUUGUGUUAGCGACUUCCUUUGGGGAAACCAGAGUUUUUGGACUUCAGGGGGAGUAUGGUUGCAAAACAGAAACUUAAAGGAAUUGACGGAAAGGCACCACCAGGAGUGGAGCUUGUGGCUUAAUUUGACUCAACACGGGUAAUCUUACCAGGCCCGGACACUGUGAGGAUUGACAGACUGAAGAUCUUUCAUGAUUUAGUGGGUUGUGGUGCAUGGCCGUUCUUAGUUGGUGGAGUGAUUUGUCUGGUUGAUUCCGAUAACGAACGAGACUCUAGCCUGCUAAAUUUGUACGUGCAAGUGUGUGCGUUUGUUGCCUGUACACGGAUAAACAAACAUGUGCUCUGUGUGUAUGUUCUGUUGUUCGGUUAGGUGACGGCAUACACAUGCAAGUGCUUCUUAGAGGGAUAGUUGACUCUUUUUUCAAGUCAAAUGAAAGAGAGCAAUAACAGGUCUGUGAUGCCCUUAGAUGUUCUGGGCUGCACGCGUGUUACACUGAUGCAGGCAACGCGAUUAAUGGCACGUUCUUAUACAAUGGGCGUGUGCUUCUGUUUCGAAAGAAUUGGAGAAUCGUUUUAAACUGCAUCGUGAUUGGAAUUGAGAAUUGUAAUUGUUUCUCAUGAACGAGGAAUUCCUAGUAAGCGCAAGUCAUUAACUUGUGCUGAUUAAGUCCCUGCCUUUUGUACACACCGCCCGUCGCUACUACCGAUGAAUAAUUUGGUGAAAAUGUUGAGAGUAGACGAAAAUAAUGCUUUUUCGUUUGCAAAAGCAUUUAAACUCAAUUUGUUUAGAGGAAGUAAAGUCGUACAGGGUUUCCGUAGGUGAACCU